AAUUGCUGGAUAGGAUAGAUAUAAAAACAUUUCUCAUCCCAGUGUACAAUUAAACUUUGGCAACCUAAAUAAAAUGUUAUCAGGCCUGGAGAAAAGGUGGAUAGUGAAGCGUGUAAAUAACAUCACUCUGUAUUUCACAACAACUGAUAAGUGAGCCCUUCACCUGUGUGUAUUCAUAUCAGAGGGUGUUUCUUUAUUGACUAAAUCAAGGGCUGUUUACAUUCAUUCACGUUUUCUGCAUAAAACCCCGACACACAUCCAGGCCUGAUAACAGAAACCCUGGGUUGGCAGGUCACACACUGUGCAGUCACACUGCGAAAGUGACAGGAAAGUACUAUUUACACAUCAAACAGAGGCUCUUUCCAAGGAACAACCUUCUGCAAAGGAAGUGAUGCUUUUAAAGUUACUGGUUUAUUUACUUACCUGGCCUGAUCAGUGAUAGCCGCCAUGGCAGAACAGACAGAAAGAGGAGCACCACCUGAAGACAUUCGUAUGGAACAUCCCAGGAAAAGGCAGUCUGAACCCAGAGUCUACCUGAUGGAAAUUCAGACGAUUGGCCCUAGCCACUUUCUUCACUGCUCAGAGUUUACAGCUACAAACCUCAACUGCCACCCGUCCCGACAUGCGUCCGACAUGAAUCCCAGACCGCAUCAUAAAAAUUCUCGGCCGCUGGUCGUCCCCAGCAUACCUCACCUACGUACGCAAUGACCUUAAUGACAUCAGAAAUGCUCACACUUUCCAGUUGAGGUUCUUUUGGGGACUCUAUCCACCACCGACAAAGAGACUACCAGACAUCCAGCUACCGGCAGGAGCCGGACCAUCAUCACACUCCUCCAUCCAACCAACCACGACCCAGAGUUUCCUCCUUCUUCCCUCACCCUCCUUCCCUUCAUCCCCUCAUCCGCUCACCCCUUCAUUCCUUGACCCUCUCCCCAUCAUCCUACAACCUCGACCCUCCCCCACAUCCAUCCGUCCCUCCUGCAUCAACUCAGCUCUCCUCUAUUCAUAACAUGCAAUAAACUGUUCAUCUAUACAUUCACUGGUGUGGUCUUUGUUAGUGAAAACUGUGUAAUUUCCAAAUAGAAAGGAUAAACACAUGCCAAAGGGAUUUUUCAUAACCUGGCAACCCAAAAGUUGUUCUCAUUAUUAGCUUAUAACUGAUCUAGAAAUCAUUAGUGAAUGAUUUAUUAACGAUUAAUUGAAAACAUUUGUUACAGCUUAUAAACCCUGUAUAAAGGGUGGAUUACUAGAAAGUGGUACUAAGAUGCAAAUUUGUAAUAGCAGCAAUUGUUGUGUGACAGCAGAAUGAAUAUAU